UCAAAUACUUAGGGCGAACAUAACAAAAUCAAAUCAAAAUCAAUUAUCAAUUACGAGGAAAGAAUAUUUGUCAUUCAUAUCACCGUCAUUAUCAAUGUCAUCCCAGAUCGACCAUCCACAAAGCCAUCAUCAGCACCCGCAUUACCAAAAAGACCAAGGCCAUAACAGAGAGCAAUCUUCAGCAGUUACCUCAAAAGGCAUAGUCGACAAUAAAUGGACAAGCGAGCGAACGGGCAUGAAUUAAUCCAAUUGAGGGAAGAAGGAAAGAAAGAAAGUCUAUAAGAAACAAAAGAAGUAAAAGAAAAAGGGGGAACGGAAAAACGGGGAAUCUGUAUAUCCCAGGCAGGCAAGGUAUAUAAUUGAAAAGAAAUUGCAUCAAAUCAGUUGCAUAGAGAAAGAGAGCUACCAGUCCCCAUCACACAGUCAAUCAACAAUCUAGGGACAAACAGCAAAGGCACACCAACAAGAAGAAUAAUGUUGAAAAGCGUACCACCGUGAAUCAUGACAAAGUGUACAUAUAAAAGGAACUUGAAAUUAACAAAACUCAAGGAAGAUAUUGGCAGCAAACGAUGACGACACAGUCACCGACUAAGAUAAGAAACAUCCAAGCUGUCUGUCCGUGCAACUGCAUGCCAAGGGGAAAGCCCAUUCCCCACCAUGGGAAGAGCCACAACCCCGUUGUAUAAACUUUAAACUCAAAGAAAAGCAAUGCGUAGCAGUGCUCGCACACCCAAUCCGCCAGUCAAACAGGGUUAGAGUUUGCAUCAGGCCAAAUAAAGCAAUCAAGCAAUCACCAGUUUAAUAAAUUAAUAAAUUAAUAUUACUUAUGCACUGCAUAAAAUCCUACAAGGGAGAUGCACUUGCGAAAAAAGGGGGGUUAAGAGUUACCAUAGCAGCUCCUGAAAGUAAUAUAUCGCCGGGAGUCCCGAUAGUGAGUAGAAUGUACAAACUGUAAGAUACAAUCGUGAUAAAGCCAGUCAAUGUCGGGUCCCACUCACACGCACCAUUUACUCAACUAUCAAUUACAGAACAUGACUUAAAAUAAAGCAAGAAGGCUUGACAUAAAAGCAAGGUGAAAACAGGGUGAAGCAUGCUGUAAGUAUCUCGUCCCAUAAUAAUGCACAAGCACCCAUAAACGAGAGUGUAACUAUAAACAAGAGUAUUCAGCAGCAGACAGAAGGAAAAGCGAGACUGACCAGUACGGGCGAUCACAAAUCAGAAGCAAAAAAGCAUAAGACGUAAAGGCAAAAGUAAAAGAAACUAAUUCGCCCUUACAGGAUUGAAUCAGUCAAGCUUAUAAACCAUAUCCAAUUCAGUGACGCAACCAUACGAUAAUUACAAAGGAAGAGAGUGUGCAGAAACAUGAACAUCACAGUAAUGAGAAUGAUGCUACAUCACUUCUAAUAACAGAAGAACAGGAAAAAACGACGACAGACCAAGCGCAAUUAAUCGAUGUAUUUGAAAUCAUCA